AUCUGAAGUCUGCAGGACGGUAGCUCUCCAGGAGCAGGGUUGGAGAUCCCUGAUCUAGGGUGCUGUUUUCAGGAAACAGACUGUUCAUGGUCAGUUCUGGAUCUCUGUCAUCUCCCCGAAGGCCACUGGGCCCAAACACGUGCACCGGGUGACAAGUGUUCCACCUCUGCAUAAGGACAGCCAGCCCUCAUUCCUUUUGGAACACGAGCCCAGGGCUGACUUAAUUGAAGUGGGCAGUGUUAGGACCGAAGUCAACAC
ensembl:lncRNA